UGGGGAAUUUUGGACAAUGGGGGAAACCCUGAUCCAGCCAUCCCGCGUGUGCGAUGAAGGCCUUCGGGUUGUAAAGCACUUUUGGCAGGAAAGAAACGUCAUGGGUUAAUACCCCGUGAAACUGACGGUACCUGCAGAAUAAGCACCGGCUACCUACGUGCCAGCAGCCGCGGUAAUACGUAGGGUGCAAGCGUUAAUCGGAAUUACUGGGCGUAAAGCGUGCGCAGGCGGUUCGGAAAGAAAGAUGUGAAAUCCCAGAGCUUAACUUUGGAACUGCAUUUUUAACUACCGGGCUAGAGUGUGUCAGAGGGAGGUGGAAUUCCGCGUGUAGCAGUGAAAUGCGUAGAUAUGCGGAGGAACACCGAUGGCGAAGGCAGCCUCCUGGGAUAACACUGACGCUCAUGCACGAAAGCGUGGGGAGCAAACAGG
rnacentral:rRNA from 1 species